AAGUCCCGUAACGAGCGCAACCCUUGUGAAUAGUUGUAUUUUUCUAUUCAGGCUGCCCCGGUAACGGGGAGGAAGGAGGGGAUGAUGUCAGGUCAGUAUUUCCCUUACACCCUGGGCUAGAAACAUAAUACAAUGGCCAGUACAAUGCGCAGCGAAGCCGCGAGGUGGAGCAAAUCGCAUCAAAGCUGGUCCCAGUUCGGAUAAGAGGCUGAAACUCGCCUCUUUGAAGUUGGAAUCGCUAGUAAUCGCAGAUCAGCAAGCUGCGGUGAAUACGUUCCCGGCUCUUGUACACACCGCCCGU
rnacentral:rRNA from 1 species